AGCGAACGCUGGCGGCAGGCCUAACACAUGCAAGUCGAACGAAGCCUUCGGGCUUAGUGGCGGGCGGGUGAGCAACACGUGGGAACGUACCUUUUGGUUCGGAACACCUGAGGGAAACUUGAGCUAAUACCGGAUGAGCCCUUAGGGGGAAAGAUUUAUCGCCGGAAGAGCGGCCCGCGGUAGAGUAGCUUGUUGGUGAGGUAAAGGCUCACCGAGGCUACGAUCUAUAGCUGGUCUGAGAGGAUGAUCAGCCACACCGGGACGGAGACACCGCCCAGACUCCUACGGGAGGCAGCAGUGGGGAAUCUUGAGCAAGGGGCGAAAGCCUGACGCAGCCAUGCCGCGGGAAAGAAGAAGGUCUGAGGAUUGUAAAAUUCUUUUACCAGGGACGAUAAUGACGGUACCUGGAGAAAAAGCCCCGGCUAACUUCGUGCCAGCCGCCGCGGUAAGAC
rnacentral:rRNA from 1 species